rnacentral:rRNA from 1 species
AACGAACGCUGGCGACAGGCCUAACACAUGCAAGUCGAGCGAGGACUUCGGUUCUAGCGGCGGACGGGUGAGUAACGCGUGGGAAUGUGCCCUUCUCUACGGAAUAGCUCUGGGAAACUGGGAGUAAUACCGUAUACGCCCUAUUGGGGAAAGAUUUAUCGGAGAAGGAUCAGCCCGCGUUGGAUUAGGUAGUUGGUGGGGUAAUGGCCUACCAAGCCGACGAUCCAUAGCUGGUUUGAGAGGAUGAUCAGCCACACUGGGACGGAGACACGGCCCGGACUCCUACGGAAGGGAGCAAAGGGGGAUCUUAGAAAGUGGCGGCAGCCCUGAUCUUGCCAUGCCGGGAGAAUGAUGAAAGCCUUAGGGUUGUAAAGCUCUUUCAGCUGGGAAGAUAAUGACGGUACCAGCAGAAGAAGCCCCGGCUAACUCCGUG